CUGAGGCACGAAAGCGUGGGGAUCAAACAGGAUUAGAUACCCUGGUAGUCCACGCAGUAAACGAUGAUUACUAGCUGUUUGCGAUACACAGUAAGCGGCACAGCGAAAGCGUUAAGUAAUCCACCUGGGGAGUACGCCGGCAACGGUGAAACUCAAAGGAAUUGACGGGGGCCCGCACAAGCGGAGGAACAUGUGGUUUAAUUCGAUGAUACGCGAGGAACCUUACCCGGGCUCGAACGGUGCAUGAAUAUAUCAGAGAUGGUUUAGUCCUUCGGGACAUGUAUCGAGGUGCUGCAUGGUUGUCGUCAGCUCGUGCCGUGAGGUGUCGGCUUAAGUGCCAUAACGAGCGCAACCCUUAUCAUUAGUUACUAACAGGUCAAGCUGAGGACUCUAAUGAGACUGCCACCGUAAGGUGUGAGGAAGGUGGGGAUGACGUCAAAUCAGCACGGCCCUUACGUCCGGGGCGACACACGUGUUACAAUGGGGGGUACAGAGGGUCGCUACCACGCGAGUGGAUGCUAAUCUCAUAAAGCCUCUCUCAGUUCGGAUCGGAGUCUGCAACUCGACUCCGUGAAGCUGGAUUCGCUAGUAAUCGCGCAUCAGCCAUGGCGCGGUGAAUACGUUCCCGGGCCUUGUACACACCGCCCGUCAAGCCAUGGAAGCCGGGGGGACCUGAAGUACGUAACCGCAAGGAGCGUCCUAGGGUAAAACUGGUAACUGGGGCUAAGUCGUAACAAGGUAGCCGUACCGGAAGGUGCGGCUG
rnacentral:rRNA from 1 species